CAGACCCGACUUCCCGUUCUUUUCCUAAUCUGGGGGAAAUUUCCCAGAGAACAUGAAGGAGAAGCAUCCGUGUGUGAGACUGGCAUGCAGCGUGAUGAUGGUGCAGAGGAGGACACCGACAAGGAGAAGAAGACAGGGGAGAAGAGAAGGAGAAAUGGGAUGUUGAAGGGCCUACGAGAAUCCUCCAACUAGAAAAUUCUUUCUUGAAUAGCUGGAUUGUGAUUUAUCAAGGUAUUUGAUUUUGAGCAAAGAGAAUGAGUAGAUAUGUUGCUAUUUUCCUGACAAGAAAGUGAUCUUAUCUCAUUGGAAUUAUGGUAAUAAACUAUUCCUUAAAAUAAUCAA